GGGCCCGUAGCUCAGUUGGGAGAGCGUUCGGUUCGCAUCCGAAAGGUCGUGGGUUCGAAUCCCUUCGGGUCCACCA
rnacentral:tRNA from 1 species